rnacentral:tRNA from 1 species
GGGGUUGUGGCUCAAUGAUAGAGUGUUUGCCUAGCAUGCAUGAGGCAAUGGGUUCAAUCCUCAGCACCA